rnacentral:rRNA from 1 species
UACGUAGGGUGCAAGCGUUGCCCGGAUUUAUUGGGCGUAAAGAGCUCGUAGGCGGCUGUCCACGUCGGAUGUGAAAGCUCGGGGCUCAACCCUGAGAGGCCAUUCGAUACGGGACGGCUAGAGGUAGGUAGGGGAGAUUGGAAUUCCUGGUGUAGCGGUGAAAUGCGCAGAUAUCAGGAGGAACACCGGUGGCGAAGGCGGAUCUCUGGGCCUUACCUGACGCUGAGGAGCGAAAGCUGGGGGAGCGAACAGG